rnacentral:rRNA from 1 species
CCCUUAGAUGUUCUGGGCCGCACGCGCGCUACACUGAUGCAUUCAACGAGUCUAAAACCUGGUCUGAUAGGGCUGGGUAAUCUUUUGAAUGUGCAUCGUGAUUGGGAUAGAUGAUUGCAAUUCUUCAUCUUCAACGAGGAAUGCCUAGUAAACGCAAGUCAUCAGCUUGCAUUGAUUACGUCCCUGCCCUUUGUACACACCGCCCGUCGCUCCUACCGAUUGAAUGUUCCGAUGAAUACCACGGACUGAGAGUAUGAAUGGGUUCGCCUAUUUCUGCUUCUCGGGAAGUGGAGUAAAUCUUAACAUUUAGAGGAAGGAGAAGUCGUAACA